CCACUCCUUCUUCUAUUCUUGAUGAAAGAGCCACUGGCCCCUUCUCUUUAUAACAGCGCCAUCUGCCGGACUUUAUAGCGACCAUAGCAAGGAGCUGUGACUGCAACAGAACAGCUAGUUGUUUGUUUUUGCACAUCACUUGGAAUAUGCGUUGCUAAGCGACAGCAUCAGGACCAGGGGUGAGGAGAGAGAGCAUGCAUGCAGCAACAGAGGAUGCAAGGCCGUAAUUUUGGGCAACCCAUGUCAUCGAUGGCCAGCCAGCGUAUACGGUGAGACGCAUCCUGAGAGUUCGACCACGGGGCAGGAGUUUCCGGUACCUGGUUAACUGGGAGGGUUACAGUCCGGAGGAGAGGUGCUGGGUUCCCGCUAAAGACAUCCUGGACCCGGCCCUCAUCGCCGACUUUCACCGCCGGCACCCUGGGGGCGGGGGGGGGGUAUUUAUUCCGGUGUUUUCUGUCUGUCUGUGUCGGUUUGUCUUGUUUGUUCAAGUCAAUCAGCAUUUUGUCUCAGCUACUGUUUUUCCCCAGUCUCUCUUUUUCUCGUCCUCCUGGUUUUUGACCCUUGACUGUCCUGGCCCUGUAUCCACCCGCCUGCCUGACCCUGAGCCUGCCUGCCGUCCUGUACCUUUCCUCCACUUCUGGAUUACCGACCCCCUGCCUGACCCUGAGCCUGCCUGCCGUCCUGUACCUUGACCUCUACUCUGGAUUACCGACCCCCUGCCUGACCCUGAGCCUGCCUGCCGUCCUGUACCUUGACCUCUACUCUGGAUUACAGACCCCCUGCCUGACCCUGAGCCUGCCUGCCGUCCUGUACCUUGACCUCUACUCUGGAUUUACCGACCCCCUGCCUGACCCUGAGCCUGCCUGUCAUCCUGUACCUUUGCUCCACUUCUGGAUUACCGACCCCCUGCCUGACCCUGAGCCUGCCUGCCGUCCUGUACCUUGACCUCUACUCUGGAUUACCGACCCCCUGCCUGACCCUGAGCCUGCCUGCCGUCCUGUACCUUGACCUCUACUCUGGAUUACCGACCCCCUGCCUGACCCUGAGCCUGCCUGCCGUCCUGUACCUUGACCUCUACUCUGGAUUACCGACCCCUUGCCUGACCCUGAGCCUGCCUGCCGUCCUGUACCUUGACCUCUACUCUGGAUUACCGACCCCCUGCCUGACCCUGAGCCUGCCUGCCGUCCUGUACCUUGACCUCUACUCUGGAUUACCGACCCCCUGCCUGACCCUGAGCCUGCCUGCCGUCCUGUACCUUGACCUCUACUCUGGAUUACCUGCCUCGACCUGCCGUUUGCCUGCCCCUGUUGUUACUAUAAACAUUGUUACAUCACACAGUCUGGACCUGGGUCUUACCUUGAUUCCUGAUAUAAACAUUAAACUCCAAAUGAAUAAAGACAUUUCAAAUGUCAUAUUAUGUGAAAAUAGUUCAAAUACAAAAAGGAAUAAAUAAACAUAAAUAUGGGUUUGUAUUUA